CGGUGGCGGCCGGUUCUGCGCCGGAUCUGAGAGAGGGGCGGUCGCCAUUGUGCUUCUCUGCGGACUGCUUUGCCUCAGUUAGAGGCCUAGAACUCCGAGGAGGAAGGCAGUGUUGCGGUCGUUGCGAGAGGGACGCGCCUUAUUCGUUGCCAGCUCGGGAGCAGGGGAAACUUUAAGAAUGGAGUCUAAACCUUCAAGGAUCCCAAGAAGAAUUUCUGUUCAACCAUCCAGCUCUUUAAGUGCUAGGAUGAUGUCUGGAAGCAGAGGAAAUAGUUUAAAUGAUACCUAUCACUCAAGAGACUCUUCAUUUAGACUGGAUUCUGAAUAUCAGUCUACAUCAGCAUCAGCAUCACCAUUUCAGUCUACUUGGUAUAGUGAAUCUGAGAUAACUCAGGGAGCACGCUCAAGAUCACAAAACCAGCAACGGGAUCAUGAUUCAAAAAGACCUAAACUUUCCUGUACAAACUGUACAUCUACCUCUGCUGGGAGAAAUAUUGGACAUGGUUUAAAUGCUGUAUCAGAAUCUUCUUGGAGGCAUAAUCAAGUUCCUAGAUCUUCAUCAAUGGUACUUGGAUCAUUUGGAACUGACUUGAUGAGAGAGAGAAGAGAUUUAGAGAGAAGAACAGAUUCUUCCAUUAGUAAUCUUAUGGAUUAUAGCCACCGAAGUGGUGAUUUCACAAAUUCAUCAUAUAUUCAAGACAGAGUUCCUUCUUCAUAUUCACAGGGAGCAAGACCAAAAGAUAACUCAGUGAGCACUUUACAGUUGAAUACAUCAUCCACAAACCACCAGAUGCCUUCUGAACAUCAGACUGUACCAUGUUCUAGGGACUCUAAUAGAAAUUCUCUACGGUCAAAUUUUUCUCCAAAAGAAUUGGAAUCUCCCCAAAGCAGUACACAGCCUGGAUUUUCUUAUCUUUCAAAUAGAGAUGAAGCCUCAACCAUAAGCAGUUCAGAUAGGGUUGGUUCAUCUCAAAGAUCAUUUCAAGAAUCUUCUGACAACGAAGGUAGACGUUCAACCAGAAGAUUGCUGUCACGUAUAGCUUCUAGUAUGUCAUCUACCUUCUUUCCCCGAAGAUCUAGUCAGGAUUCCUUGAAUACAAGAUCAUUGAGUUCUGAAAAUUCCUAUGUUUCUCCAAGAAUCUUGACAGCUUCACAGUCUCGUAGCAAUGCAGCGUCAGCUUCUGAUGUUCCCGAUAGUAGGGCAUCUGAAGCUUCUCAGGGAUUUCGAUUUCUUAGGCGAAGAUGGGGUUUGUCAUCUCUUAGCCAAAAUCAUAGCUCUGAGCCUGAUUCAGAAAAUUUUAACCAAGAAUCUGAAGGUAGAAAUACAGGACCAUGGUUAUCUUCCUCACUUAGAAAUAGAUGCACACCUUUGUUCUCUAGAAGGAGACGAGAGGGACGAGAUGAAUCUUCAAGGAUACCUACCUCUGAUAUACCAUCUAGAUCUCAUCAUAUUUUUAGAAGAGAAUCAAAUGAAGUGGUUCACCUUGAAGCACAGAGUGAUCCCCUUGGGGCUACUGCCAACAGAUCACAAGCAUCUGCAGCAUCGAGUAGUGCUGCUACGGGUGCCUCCACAUCAGAUUCAGCUCACAGUGGAAGAAAUACAGGAAUAACAGGGAUCCUUCCUGGUUCUUUAUUUCGAUUCGCAGUCCCCCCAGCACUUGGAAAUAAUUUGACCGACAAUGUCAUGAUCACUGUAGAUAUUAUUCCUUCAGGUUGGAGUUCAUCUGAUGGAAAAAGUGAUAAAACUAAAAGUGCACCUUCAAGAGACCCAGAAAAACUGCAGAAAAUAAAAGAGAGCCUCCUUUUAGAGGACUCUGAAGAAGAAGAAGGUGACUUAUGUAGAAUUUGUCAGAUGGCAGCUGCAUCAUCAUCUAACUUGCUGAUAGAGCCGUGCAAAUGCACAGGAAGCUUGCAGUAUGUUCACCAAGAUUGUAUGAAAAAGUGGUUACAGGCCAAAAUUAACUCUGGUUCUUCAUUAGAGGCUGUAACCACCUGUGAACUCUGUAAAGAGAAGUUGCAGCUUAACCUGGAGGAUUUUGAUAUUCAUGAACUACAUAGAGCUCAUGCAAAUGAACAAGCUGAGUAUGAGUUUAUCAGCUCUGGUCUCUACCUAGUUGUGUUAUUGCACUUGUGCGAACAAAGCUUUUCUGAUAUGAUGGGAAAUACAAAUGAACCAAGCACACGUGUCCGAUUUAUUAACCUUGCAAGAACUCUUCAGGCACAUAUGGAAGAUCUCGAAAGUAGGUGGAAUUUCCCCUUCCCAGACUUGUUGAAUUUCUUUUGCAAAUUAAAUCCACAGACCAAAACCUUACUGUAUACGCUUUCUACCAAAUUAGAGCUUCAUUUAUAGGCGUAGUAAUACCAUAAUAACUGAUUUGGGAAAGAUGGGUUGGGCAACUGACCUUCUUCAAAGCAUAUUUUUAAAAAAUAAUAAUUUUAAGGUACAGAAGGAUAUGUUUUAACUAGUGUUUUAUUUAAAAUUUUUAUUUUUGAUCGCCUUAAUUUUAAUCAAAAAGAAAACUUCUGGUCAAACCACACUUCUAAAUCUGUUAGGUGUGUGUGAGAGAGAGAGAGAGAGAAAUUUUGUUAAUCAUCUUUGUUAGAUCAUUAAAAGUUUUCCCUGGGUUUGUGUAUAGUUCUAGGAAAAUAGGGGUGAAAGAUUCCUAGUUCUGAGUCCAUAACAGAAGCCAUAGUUUUUUUUUUGCUCCUUGUUCAGGUCCUCAUGGACCUUUAAUAGGCAGCCAGCUCCGACAGCAACUCCAAUCUCUUAAGAUCACGUUCCAGCAUUAGGACUUCUGCCUGGGCUCCCAUGUGAAGGCACUUAAUGCCCAAAUCUUUACAGGCAUCUGCACAGCUUAACCUCAAAGUCCUACAACCUCCAGGGUGCUUCGUACCAGGUGGGCACAGAUAUUGGUGGCUCUGAAACAGUUCCUGGGAAUUCAAGAUUACCCUACCUAUUGUACUUUUUCACCCAAAGCAACUGGCUCCCCAUGAUCAGAUUCCAUGACACUCUUUGAAGUGUUUUAAAAUAUAUCUCCACUUGAUUAUUUUCUGUACUUGUCUUAAAAACACUUGUGGAGUGUUACCUGUAGUGUGCGUGUUUUUUUACCUUUAGGGAAAGCUCAGCAUCCUUUGAAGUAAAGUUUGAGAAGGACUUGGUCUUCAUGAGAGCCUUUUAAUUCCUAGAAUAUUCUAAGACAUGGGUUGUUGUCAUUAAGUUUGUACUAUUUUUAAGUUUUGAAAGGAUUAGAGGUACAACCCAGAUGCCUUUUCACAGUUUACUAUGUGUGAAAAUGGUAUAUAAAGGAGUCUGGUAUAUAAAGUGGGAAUUCAUUUGGUGUACAUCUUUUUUUUCUUUCAUAUAAACUUCUUCACAUCCCUUAUGUUACCUAACACAAAGAUCUCUUUUAGCAAAUUAUAAUUCAUACUUUGCCAGAUGUGAUGGUAGUAAUUUGUUUUAGAUGAUAGUAAUAUUUUCCCCAGAUUGCUUUACUUUUUUUUAAACUAACAUUUAGUAGUUUCCUAAACAUAGCAAUGUCUACUGCCAACAUGUAAGAAAGACGGAGGUGAAAUAUACCCAGAUUCAGCUGAGAGUAAAAGCUGUUGUGGGUGCUACAAGCUUACUCCUAAGUACCAGAAUAUUAAUGUAUUCUAAAAGUUGGUUCUCACUGAAUUUUCUUCUCUUGUGGAGUUAAUUGAAUAGAAAACAUGAGAAGUUCUCUGAAAAACUGUUUUAUUUCUUGGUUUGAUAUUUCUCCAUAAUAUAGCAUAAAACUUAACCAUAGGAUUUACUCAUUCAUGAGCCAAGUAUAUGCUUGCUAUCAUUUACUAAAAAUGGAUUGAAGAUUUCUGCAAGAUAAAUUGAAACAUGAAAACUUAAGUUUCAUCCAUACAUGUAGGAUGUUUUUGUUGAUUCCAUUUGUUGGGUGCUCUUAAAUAUUGGGUCUAAUAUUAAUACAAGAAGAGUAUACAUUUAACCUUUCUGCCCUUGAUAAUAGGGGAAAUGCUGGUUGGGUGUUUAUUUUAGUGAAUUCCAUUUUCCUCAACACAUAACAGUUUAGAGAAUCCAUAGUUUUAUACUUAGGUCCCUCCUAUAGACAUUCCAGGAUGUUUAUUUUAAACUUCUGAGCUACUACAAUGGCUCUUAAAUUGAGGUCAGAAAUGUUACAAACAUGAUGUUUCUGACAAUGUAGAGGCAUAGGAAUAAUCUCAAAAGUUUUUUACUAAAUCCAAUUGUUUUAACUUAGGCUGUGUCUAUAUAAAAGCUUUUUGGACUAAAUAGAGCUUUUUCUUGGCAUUGUAUAGACAUAGCUUUGAUGUAAAUUGCAAGAAUACCCAUAACCUAUUCUGUGUACAUUUUUUUUCAUUCUCAUCGGAUGCAUCAAAUAUGCAGCAGUAAUAAACCAGAUUCUACUCAGCUUCAGAGGAUGAUUCCGAAGAAGAUGGAGACCAUAACAGAACAUUUGAUAUUGCCUAACUUCAUAUAAGACAAAUGGAUGAUCUGUGAACAAGUGUUUAUUAAAACUGGCAAUUACGUAUGAUUUAAUUUUGUGGGGAAUGCCUAUUGGAGAUAGAUAUAUAUAUAUAUAUAUAUAUAUAUAUAUAUAUAUAUAUAUAUAUAUAUAUUUAGAUAUUCUCAAGUAUUGCUGAAUUAAAAAUUCUCCUGGACCUUUUAACAUGGCCAAUGAAUCUGAUGUUUAUAAACUGGUCAUCAGAAGUAUUUUUCUUUUCGGUGAGUGGGAAAAUGUUAUCCUUGUUUUAAAUAUCUAAGUAAUGCUGAUGGCCCUUUUUUGUGUUUUGAUUACUGUAGUCAUAUUUAUGAAAAAAGGUUCAUGUUUUUAGUUUCUUGCUAGUGAAAAAAGUGGGACAAAAUAUGCUUUUGAAAUAAAAUGGCACCUAAUUAUUUUUCUUUUCAAAAAUGCCUUAAGUUACAGUCUCAUUUUCAUGAUCAUUUGCUUCCAGUGUUUAUAAAAAAAAUAAUUGGGAAGUUAUGAAAGCAUUAUAUAUUGGGUUCCCAAAGUUAAUAUGAAUCCUAAAUUCACUUAGCAAUAAAAUCUAAUUUUUAAGAAGUAUAUAAAUAUAAAAUGUAUAAAUGAUGGAUAAAUUUUUGUAUUGAUUUGCAGAAUGCAGAUUAUAUUUGAUAAGCCAUAGUAUGUAGAUAUUCCUUUUAGGAGUAUUACAGCUGUAAAUUAUAUCAGAAUUGCCCAUCAAAUGCUAUUUGGGAAAAAAAAUUACUGCAAUCUCAAGUUAAUGGAAUAUUUUUAAAUCCCACAUUUAAAGUUUAAAACACUGGUUUUCAAUGUGUUUUUUAGUGUUGUCACUUCUUUAUAGAUAAAUACGAUAUAAAUAACCUGUUUGGAUCCUGGUCGUUUUUAACUGUUCCUUGGUAAUUCUGAGCAUUUACUGACUUAAUAUUUUUCACCACUUUUGGAGAACAGAUGAACAUCACCUGUUCACCAAUGAAUAGAUCUACACCAUGGUCAGGAGUUGUGUAUAAAGUUUCAUAACACUGUAUAUAUUUCCUCUGUCAACACCCUUUAGGAUAUACUUUUAAACACCUUCAGGUGGUUUCAGAUUAAAUAGUCUUAUGUUAUGGCAACUAACUACAUUUCCAGAACCUAAAUAGAAACCAUGUAAUUUCUCAAAUGUGAGUCAACAGUUUGGCCACACUUAGUUUGUUUGUCUUAAUGUAAAACCUUGGCUGGAAAUAAAAUGCAUACUGAUUGAUUUA